rnacentral:rRNA from 1 species
GUGGGGAAUUUUGGACAAUGGGCGCAAGCCUGAUCCAGCAAUGCCGCGUGCAGGAAGAAGGCCUUCGGGUUGUAAACUGCUUUUGUACGGAACGAAACGGCUCUGGUUAAUACCCGGGGCUAAUGACGGUACCGUAAGAAUAAGCACCGGCUAACUACGUGCCAGCAGCCGCGGUAAUACGUAGGGUGCAAGCGUUAAUCGGAAUUACUGGGCGUAAAGCGUGCGCAGGCGGUUGUGUAAGACAGGCGUGAAAUCCCCGGGCUCAACCUGGGAAUUGCGCUUGUGACUGCACAGCUGGAGUGCGGCAGAGGGGGAUGGAAUUCCGCGUGUAGCAGUGAAAUGCGUAGAUAUGCGGAGGAACACCGAUGGCGAAGGCAAUCCCCUGGGCCUGCACUGACGCUCAUGCACGAAAGCGUGGGGAGCAAACAGGAUUAGAUACCCUAGUAGUCC